rnacentral:rRNA from 1 species
GCAGUGACAAUCAGGAGGUUUGCCUAGAAGCAGCCACCCUCUAAGGAGUGCGUAAUAGCUCACUGAUCACGCGCUUUUGCGCCGAAAAUGACCGGAACUAAGUUUUUUGCCGAAGCUGUGGCUACAUCACACAGAUGAUGUAGGGUAGAGGAGCGUUCCGCCCAGGGGGAAGCCAAGCGCGUAAGCCGCGGUGGACAGGGCGGAAGUGAGAAUGUCAGCUUGAGUAACGCAAACAUUGGUGAGAAUCCAGUGCCCCGAAAACUCAAGGGUUCCUGCGCAAGGCUCGUCCGCGCAGGGUCAGUCAGGACCUAAGGUGAGGCCGAAAGGCGUAAUUGAUGGCAAGAAGGUUUAUAUUCCUUCACUAGUCUAGGCUUAGUCCUGAGGGACGAACAAAUAACACUCGGCACAAUGGCCUUCCAUGGUAGGAAGGGUUAAACCAUUGUUGUUUGAUGAUAUUUUUUCCAAGAAAAGCUCAUUCGACUUUGAGUCUAGACUACCUGUACCGUAAACCGACACAGGUGAGUGGGUUGAAUAAACUAAGGGGAGCGAGAUAACUCUCUCUAAGGAACUCGGCAAAUUGGCUCUGUACCUUCGGAAGAAAGAGUGCCCCUCAGGGGGCCGCAGUGAAGAGAUCCAGGCGACUGUUUACCAAAAACACAGGUCUCCGCAAAGUCGUAAGACGACGUAUGGGGGCUGACACCUGCCCAGUGCCAGAAGGUUAAAGAAGUUGGUCAAUCUUUGAUGAAGCUAACGACUGAAGCCCUGGUGAACGGCGGCAGUAACUAUAACUGUCCUAAGGUAGCGAAAUUCCUUGUCGGGUAAGUUCCGACCCGCACGAAAGGUGUAACGAUCUGGAUACUGUCUCAGAGAGAGACUCGGUGAAAUAAAACUAUCUGUGAAGAUGCGGAUUACCUGCACACGGACAGAAAGACCCUAUGAAGCUUUACUGUAACCUGGAAUUGCUCUCAAGCUUAUCUUGCGCAGCUUAGGUGGGAGGCUAUGAACCUUUUCUUCUGGGAAGAGGGGAGCCAUCAGUGAGAUACCACUCUUGGUAAGCUAGAGCGCUCAGUCUUCACCGUCAUCCGGUAAGACGACAGUUUCAGGCGGGCAGUUUGACUGGGGCAGUCACCUCCCAAAAGGUAAUGGAGGUGUGCAAAGGUUCCCUCAGGCUGGACGGAAAUCAGCCAUAGAGUGUAAAAGCAAAAGGGAGCUUGACUGCGAGACUGACAUGUCAAGCAGAGACGAAAGUCGGCUUUAGUGAUCCGACGGUGCUGUGUGGAAAGGCCGUCGCUCAACGGAUAAAAGUUACUCUAGGGAUAACAGGCUAAUCUCCCCCAAGAGUUCACAUCGACGGGGAGGUUUGGCACCUCGAUGUCGGCUCGUCGCAUCCUGGAGCGGAAGUACGUUCCAAGGGUUGGGCUGUUCGCCCAUAGAAAGCGGCACGCGAGCUGGGUUCAGAACGUCGUGAGACAGUUUGGUCCAUAUCCUGUGUAGGCGUUUAGAGCAUUGAAAGGAUCUCCCCUUUGUACGAGAGGACCAGGUGGGGACAGACCGCUAGUGUACCAGUUAUCCCACCAGGGGUAAACGCUGGGUAGCUAUGUCUGGAGUAAAUAACUGCUGAAAGCAUAUAAGUAGGAAGUUCACCUUAAGAUGAGUGCUCUUUUGUCUCAACCGUUCAGUUUUACUGACAAAUGAAAGACAAGGAAGGUCACGGCAAGACGAGCCGUUUGAUAGGCAUGAAGUAGAAGUGCAGUAAUGCAUUCUGAAGCUGACAUGUGCUAAUAGACCGAGGGAUUUGAUUUU